AAGUGGACAGACAAACAGACAUAAAUCCCUAUCACUAUUUACCCUCCCACGUCUCAUGCAAAUAUAAUUAUGAUAUUUCAAACACAUUUUUGAAAGUCACAUUGCUGGUUUAUUAUAGGGAAAUUUUUGAAUGUUUCUGCAAAGUGGCCAGGUUCGAACCACGACUCUUUUAUUUUCCGGAGUUCGGACAUCGGCAUUCAUUUAGAAGGAAACCAUCGGGGUAUUGAUGUGGACGGGGUUCUUUUGGGAGAUAGUGGGUAUGCCUGCAGUAGGUACUUACUUACGCCAUACCUGCGGCCUAGUACAAGAGCACAAAUAAAGUACAAUGAUGCUCAUGCAAAAACUAGGGGUGUCGUGGAAAGGUGUUUUGGUUGGUGGAAGAGGCGUUUUAUAGUGCUUCAUGAAGAAAAUAAAUGUGAACCAGGGCGGGUUGCAAAGAUAGCGGUGGCUUGUGCUGUACUGCACAAUAUAGCUCUUCAGAGACAUGAGCCAAUGGAAGAUGAUAUUAAUGGCCCAGGAGACAAUGGGGGAAAUGACGGAGCAGUGCAGGGUCCCAUCAAUGAUAAUGUCAGGAGAUUUAUCACAGAGCAUUAUUUCAACUGAGUGUUCUCAAAAUUUGAUGAAAUUUUAUUAAUGCAGCUAAAAACUGAAUAUUUAGAAAUGUCAACAGUUUUUCAAACUAAGAAAUACAACACAGAGAAAUUUCAUUUUUAAAAAUAUAAAUCAAGAACAAGAUGCCUAUGGACCACAAAGCUCACCAAAGACACUCUGACCUUAUUCUUAGUUUAUCAGCAGACCCCCCCCCCCCUAUAUACUUCUGUAUUUAACACUGAUCCCCUAUUGUAGUCUCAUCCUACCCCAGGAGAAAAUGAUUUAAACAAACUUGGAACGGAAACUAAGUGGACCGACAGACCAACCGACAGACAGCAGAAAAACAAUAUACCCUCCCUUCUUCAUAGGAGGGCUUACAUAAAAAUCAUUAAUGGUUCACUAUUCGUAUGAGAAGAUUUUAAAAGCCCCCCUUUCUUAUUCCUACAUAAAUAUUUGAUUCCCCACUGUGACCCCAUCCAACCCAAGGGUCCUCAUUUGUUUUUUAUAAUUCUAAUAAUUCUGAAUUUUUUUUAAUAUAGGGUAAAAAAUUGGAAAGUUUAGAAUGACAACGAUGACAACAACAAAGUAUGAUUAGAAAAAGCACUGACUUUGGCUCAUGUGUGCUAAAA